rnacentral:rRNA from 1 species
CGAAGNNCGAAAGGGCGCACGGUGGAUGCCUUGGCAUCGCAAGGCGACGAAGGACGCGGUAAGCUGCGAUAAGCCCCGGGGAGCGGCAAACACGCUUUGAUCCGAGGAUUUCCGAAUGGAGCAAUCCGUCAGUCGAAGAGACUGUCAUCGGCGGAUGAAUGCAUAGUCCGUCGAAGCGACACGCGGGGAAGUGAAACAUCUCAGUACCUGCAGGAGAAGAAAACAACAGUGAUUGCGCAAGUAGCGGCGAGCGAACGCGCAGUAGCCCAAACCGGGGAGCUUGCUCCCCGGGGUUGCGGGACCACGACGUGGGAUCGCCUCUCGGUAGGGGAACGGCCUGGAAAGGCCGGCGAUACAGGGUGAAAGCCCCGUACCCGAAACCGCGAGCGGCCCUAGUGGGAUCCCAAGUAGGACGGAACACGUGAAACUCCGUCCGAAUCCGGGGGGCCCAUCCCCCAAGGCUGAAUACUAGGCGAUGACCGAUAGCGAACCAGUACCACGAGGGAAAGGUGAAAAGAACCCCUGUCAGGGGAGUGAAACAGACCUGAAACCGUGUGCCUACAAGGUGUCGUGGCCCUUCGGGGUUGCGGCAUGCCUUUUGCAUAAUGAGUCCGCGAGUCAUCGCGUCCGGCAUGGCUAAGCCCGUAUGGCGGAGCCGAAGCGAAAGCGAGUCCGAAAGGGGCGCUUUCGUCGGAUGCGGUGGACCAGAAGCCAGGCGAGCUAUCCUUGGGCAGGCUGAAGGGGCGGUAACACGCCCUGGAGGGCCGAACCGGUAGGUGCUGAAAAACCUUCGGAGGACCUGAGGAUUGGAGCGAAAGACUUAUCAAGCUUGGUGAUAGCCGGUUCUCCCCGAAAUAACUUUAGGGUUAGCCCCGGAAUGAAACCGUCGAAGGUAGAGCACUGUUUAGCCGAAGGCCUCUAGCGAGGUACCGACGCUUGGCAAACUCCGAAUGUCGGCGGCGUCCUGUCCGGGAGAUAGACGGCGAGAGAUAAGUUCCGUCGUCGAGAGGGAAACAGCCCAGACUUCCAGCCAAGGCCCCCAAACCGCGCUCAGUCACGAAGGAUGUGGGGUCUCGAUGACAGCCAGGAUGUUGGCUUAGAGGCAGCCAUCAUUUAAACAUUGCGUAACAGCUGACUGGUCGAGAGACCCCGCGCCGAAAAUGAUCGGGAGUAAGCGCGNNAGCCUCCGUGGACUGCAUGCAAGCGAUUAUGCGGACAUGAGUAACGAAAAACCGGGUGAGAAUCCCGGUCGCCGGAAUUCCAAGGUUUCCCGGGGCAGGUUCGUCCGCCCGGGGUCAGCCGGAUCCUAAGGCAAGGCCGAAAGGCGUAGUCGAUGGACAUCGGGUCAACAUUCCCGAGCCGGGCAAGCUUCGAAAGGGUUCGCGGAAGAAGGUUCUGCAGGGGUCAUCGGAUUCCCCGGAUGAAGGGUUCGCCCGGAUUCCGCGCAGCGCCUUCACGCCGCCAAGAAAAGCCCCGUAGUUACGGCUUGCUCGUCCGUACCAAAACCGACACAGGUGGAAUGGUAAGCGAAUACCAAGGCGCGCGAGUGAAACCUCGUUAAGGAACUCGGCACACUGGCCCCGUAACUUCGGAAGAAGGGGUCCCGGGACUCGAUCCCGGGCGCAGUGAAAGAGCCGUGGCGACUGUUUAACAAAAACAUAGCACUCUGCCAACCCGCAAGGGGACGUAUAGAGUGUGACACGUGACCAAUGCGGAAAGGUCAAGGCAAGGGGUCAGCCGCAAGGCGAAGCUCCGAACCAAAGCCCCCGUGAAUGUCGGCCGUAACUAUAACGGUCCUAAGGUAGCGAAAUUCCUUGUCGGG